AUUUUGAGGGACCGUAUUAGCUGUUUGAUUCCGAAUUGGCCUAUACUGAUGAAGAUGAAAGGGCAUAAUGAAAUUGCGCUUGCGUUACUUAUAGUUAUUUUGACUUCCACCUUGAGGGCAAGGUGGAUUUCAACCGUGGGGGAGUUGAUAGGGACUUCAACUCUGAUACGAGUCUCUUCUUUCCAAGACAUCAGUGUGCAGCCAACCACAGCUCUAUGCCGUCCCUCGCAGCGGCAGCCCGAAGUCUUCUCAAGCCCAACCCAUCAAGGAAGCAAAACCUAGAUACUAAAUCAGCCGCAUAGGAGGGAAGAUAGAUUGAUUAGCAUAUCAAUUUAAGAUAUUCCAUAUCUUUUAUUAUUUCAUCAAUUAUUCAUGUAAUCUUAUUUCAAGUAUUUUCUCCUAUAAAUAUAGGAGAUUGUUUAGCAUCAAAGCAUUGAGAAAUAAACUAAACGUUAUUCUCA